rnacentral:rRNA from 1 species
UAAUGGCUCACCAAGCCUUUACCGGUGCGGGCCGUGAGAGCGGGAGCCCGGAGAUGGGCACUGAGACAAGGGCCCAGGCCCUACGGGGCGCAGCAGUCGCGAAAACUUUGCAAUACACGCAAGUGUGACAGGGCUAUCCCGAGUGCCAUCCGCUGAGGAAGGCUUUUACCCAGUCUAGAAAGCUGGGGGAAUAAGGAGAGGGCAAGUCUGGUGUCAGCCCCCGCGGUAAUACCAGCUCUCCGAGUGGUGUGGAUGUUUAUUGGACCUAAAGCAUCCGUAGCUGGCUAAGUUAGUCCCCUGUUAAAUCCAACGAAUUAAUCGUUGGAUCGCGGGGGAUACUGCUUGGCUAGGGGACGAGAGAGGCAGACGGUAUUACCGGGGUAGGGGUGAAAUCCUAUAAUCGGGGGAAGACCACCAGUGGCGAAGGCUGUCUGCUAGAACGCGCCCGACGGUGAGGGAUGAAAGCUGGGGGAGCGAACCGGAUUAGAUACCCGGGUAGUCCCAGGUGUAAACGAUGCAGGCUAGGUAUUUGGACGGCCACGUGCCGUUCUAGUGCCGCAGGGAAGCUGUUAGGCCUGCCGCCUGGGGAGUACGAUCGCAAGAUUGAAACUUAAAGGAAUUGGCGGGGGAGCACCACAAGGGGUGAAGCUUGCGGUUUAAUUGGAGUCAACGCCGGG